rnacentral:rRNA from 1 species
AUUGAACGCUAGCGGCAGGCCUAAUACAUGCAAGUCGAACGGUGUCUUCGGACAUAGUGGCGCACGGGUGCGUAACACGUAUGCAACCUACCUUACAUUGGGGGAUAGCCUUUCGAAAGGGAGAUUAAUACCGCAUAAGACAGUAGCUGGGCAUCCAGCAGCUGUUAAAGAUUUAUCGAUGUAAGCUGGGCAUGCGUCCAAUUAGCUAGUUGGUGAGGUAACGGCUCACCAAGGCAAUGAUUGGUAGGGGAACUGAGAGGUCAAUCCCCCACACUGGCACUGAGAUACGGGCCAGACUCCUACGGGAGGCAGCAGGAGGGAAUAUUGGGCAAUGGACUCAAGUCUGACCCAGCCAUGCCGCGUGCAGGAUGAAGGCGUUAUGCGUUGUAAACUGCUUUUGUACAGGAAGAAACGACUCUUGCGAGAGGCAUUGACGGUACUGUAUGAAUAAGCACCGGCUAACUCCGUGCCAGCCGCCGCAGUAAUAC